UUAAUUAAUUAUCAGCAAAUCUUAAAAGCUCUGUAAACAUAUUUUAGAUUUUCUUCGGAAAAUAUUUUAAAAAGUAAAAAAUUUUAUGUAUUAGUGUUAGUGAUAGAUUUUUUUUUUGUUACACAUGUGGCUGAAAGUCGGUGUAUGUUAAAAUAAUAACCUGCAGGCUGAUGUUAAUGAGUUGUGAAUCAGCAACAGGUUAAUUAGUUUUGUUUUUCUGCUGUUUUUUUGCACGUGACUAAAUUCAAUCAGCACGAAUUACUUUUGCUAUCCAGCUCCGUUAUCUUUGCUCAAAUGAGUCCACGGUGGAAGAUUAUAGGUGUUUUGGCUAUAAAUGUGAAACUUAAACAUCCACAGAGAAGCUGUUUUUCCGCUAUGCGUGCAUUUAAUUUUCAAUAAAUAGGUGCUGAAAGCCGCUGCGAUCGCCGACUGUUUCCCUCUUCUUCCUCUGGAGAGGUGGAGGCUGUUUGGUUGGAGAUAUGGGUCGGAAGUACCGUAGUUUAUGUAUGCUAAUAGGGGAGUUGGGGGUUGUAGCUAGAUAUUUACGUUCAGUGGGAGACGCCCUUCAUUCACCCACAUGGUUACCAACGGGUCGUCUUCGCGCCACUUUCCUAAGCUCGCUAUCAUUUUUAAGCAGUGUAACUGGGCUAUAAAUUGACCCGCAGUCGGCUCGGAUUUCACUUCACGUCUCGUUGUGUCCGCCGUUUGAAAAGUUUGCGGGAUAGUUGUGUAUUUAUUCGUCUCUUUUGUCGGUGAGAGACUACACGGCAGCCCAAGCAAGUGAGCGAAGAUGGUGGAUUUCGGCUGAUUCACCGACCUUCCCAGGAGGUGCAGGAUCCCCCCAACCUAAUCAAACAAAGUUGCCUCGUGGAGCAGCAUGGCUGGCCUUCCGUGUGAUGCUGUAAUGGUCUGUGUAUUGCCAAAGUGCUUACAGUGCAGGUAGUACUAUGGAAUACCUACUGCAGUGGAGGCACUUACAGCAAUACCCUGACACUGAUGUGCACAAUCUUCUGAUGUUUCAUGUUGUUGUUUUCUUUUUUUUUUUUUUUUUUUUUUCGUUUGAAGUACUGUCUUUGUGCUAAGGUGCAUCUAGUGCAGAUAGUGAAAUAGACUAGCACCUACUGCCCUAAGUGCUCCUUCUGGCAUAAGGGGCUGUGAUAAGCGCCACCAGACAGUUGUUUUUUUUUUUUGUUUUUUUUUUUCUUUUUUGAAUUUCUAAUUGGGCUCAAAUAUCUCGCAGUUCUCUGCUAGUUUUGCAUAGUUGCACUACAAGAAUAUAUGAGUUGUGCAAAUCUAUGCAAAACUGAUGGUGGCCUGCUUGCUCUCCACCUGUUUAGAUUUGCUUUUGUUUAAAAUUUUGGUGUCACAUCAGCCUGAUUAAAUUCAACUAUGACAGUUUUAAAAAAACAAAGCCAAAUUGGAGUGUCUGCCAGUAAUCGUCCAAUGAACUCAGUUUCAGCAGUAUUAAAGUGCUUAUAGUGCAGGUAGUGUUUUGCACAAUCUACUGCAAUGUAAGCACUUGAAGUACUUCUAACUGCAUCUUUCUGUGGAAUGGCCGAAGGUGGAUUUCUGUCGAUCGUCGCGUGGUCAGUUUUGCUGGUUUGCAUUCAGCUUUAACGGGUGUUUGCUGUGCAAAUCCAUGCAAAACUGACUGCGUUGAUGAGCUAUAUUCUGCUAAGUGGGACUGGCAAACUUCAUCAGAGGUUCUUUAGGUAUUAUUGCAUGUGAUCGGAGACUCUGAGACAUCCCUUUCUGUGUAGGUGGGGAUCGGUAGCAAUGCUGUGUUCCUCCAGGUAUUGCACUUGUCCCGGCCUGUGUGGAAACGAGGAAAUAGAGCGGACCUGAAUCUUAACUGGAUAUGUUGGUUAUUCAUCCAUUUGUUAACAGCGUUUUAGCCAGUUUGGCGUGAGAUGAAUGGAACUUUAAAAUUUUCAGGUGUUUAUUGUAACACUUCUUGAAAGAUUAAAUUUCUAAUGCCUAUUCCUCUGACUCUGUGCUAAUCUCUGAGUUGGCAGUUAAAGGUUUAAACACUGCAAAGUUGAUGGAUUUUGUUUGGACUUUAAACUAUUUUGGAGCUUUAAAUCGCAACGUGUCGCUUUUUGUCACUUCGUGGCUUUUAAAACCUUAUAGUAGUCUUUGACUAGUCUCUGGACUACCUUUUGGCAUUAGUUGUGUUGCUGUUGCAUGUGAUCAAAAGGUCAUCUGCAAGCCAAAAACCUUUGUUACAAGUGGCUGGGCUCUCUGUAGUUGAAAACCCAGACAUGCUUUAAUUUUGCAUAUUAAGGCUUGCCCUGUGCACACAAAACUAAAGACCUGCACUUACAGUGCAGGCACAGUCACAUGAAGGUGGCCAUUCACUAGAUAAAUCAACAUGAGGUUUCUCAAUCUGCCUCUGAGUGAGCUCAUAUGAAAGAGGUGACAUUGGUGACUUCUGACCAAUCACAAACAUGGAUAAGUGGGCACUGAUUCACAGUGCAAAGAUUAAAAA